rnacentral:rRNA from 1 species
GAUGAACGCUGGCGGCGUGCUUAACACAUGCAAGUCGAACGAAGCACUUUAUUUGAUUUCCUUCGGGACUGAUUAUUUUGUGACUGAGUGGCGGACGGGUGAGUAACGCGUGGGUAACCUGCCUUGUACAGGGGGAUAACAGUUGGAAACGGCUGCUAAUACCGCAUAAGCGCACAGCAUCGCAUGAUGCAGUGUGAAAAACUCCGGUGGUAUAAGAUGGACCCGCGUUGGAUUAGCUAGUUGGUGAGGUAACGGCCCACCAAGGCGACGAUCCAUAGCCGACCUGAGAGGGUGACCGGCCACAUUGGGACUGAGACACGGCCCAAACUCCUACGGGAGGCAGCAGUGGGGAAUAUUGCACAGUGGGCGAAAGCCUGAUGCAGCGACGCCGCGUGAGCGAAGAAGUAUUUCGGUAUGUAAAGCUCUAUCAGCAGGGAAGAUAAUGACGGUAC